GAGAGUUUUUUUUCAGUAGUCAGGCUUUUAUAAUCCCUGUACAUCACCACCUGACUAUGAUUUUAAGGGGUUUGGUAUAUACAAACCAAAAAUUUGAAUAAUUGAUUAAUAAUAACAAAGAGUAAAUAAAUGUACAGAGUAAACAAAAAGAAAACGAAAAAAAUAUACAUCAGUUGCUUUUUUUAUAUGCAAAUUUAUAAAAAAAAUCUUCCCAUAGAGGUGUGAUACCACUAAAUCAUAGUACGUCACAUCUGAUUGCAUACGAAAAGGGGUAGAAAAAAAUACUCCCUUGAAUUUGACAGCUGUAUAAAUCCUGCAUUUCCUUGCAGUAAAAAAAUUCUGAGUCAUAAACAUAUAUCUUGGGUGGUUCAGAGCACCAUUGUGUUUUUUAUUCGGUGUUUCAAUAAAAUAGUUUGAAAAAUUGAAGUUACAUGGUCACUAAAUCUUGUAAACAUGAAAGAAAGGGGUGGACAUUUAAUUGAUUUACUACAAGUGCUGGUUAUUAUCUUAUAUACGAUGAAAUGUUAUGUGAAAUUUUGUCUGUAGUAAUGGACAGGAUAAAUCUUUACUCAUACCCAGUAGUUCUUUAUUUGAAACAAAGAUAGAUUUUGCUCAAUUAAAAAAAAAAAAUGCAAAUUUAACAAAGAAUAAAAGGGAAAAAUAAUGGUGGUAUUACACCUAGAUAUUAUGUAAGUACACAAUGUGUCAAUCGAACAUUGAACACAAAUAUAGAUCAAUAUACAAAUAUACUACUAGAUGCAUUUUACUACACAAUAUAGAAGAAGUUAAUAACGGUAAUGACAGGACUCUAGAGAUGAUAGAGCAUUUUCAUUGACAAACAAGAUUAGUAUGCACUCUAGACAUAAAU
rnacentral:lncRNA from 1 species